CAUGUCGCGCACGAUUGUGUGCCUGUUGUCAGUUGUCAUUUGUCUGUUUGCUUACGCAAAUCGUUGCGCAUACGCAGCGUGUUACCGCUUACAGCUUGCCGUUAACCGUUAUGCAGCCGGAGCCACCCCCAAAGAGAGAGAGAGAGAGAGAGAGAGAGACAGAAGUAACGCCCGUAACUGCGUCAAUGUCAUAAAACUUUCUCACAGCGGAUUGGCUAUAUUCCGUCAAUGAUGUUUACACCGAAGUUCAAAUAUUCAAACGAGCCAAUGGAUUCAAACCAUGGUUAUUCAAAUAUAAAUUAAAUUUUUGUGAAUAUUUACAGAAAAAGAACCAUCGGCUUUUCAGUCUUAUAUUUAAUAUAUUCAGAGAGUACACCAACUUGGCAACCCAAACCUGCCCUCUUGUGGGAAAUAUUACAGUUUUAGGAUUUAGUCUGAAGGUUGAUCGACUCAAGCUGCCUUUGCCAACGGGCGUUUAUUUAGUGACAACAGGUUGGAUUUUAAACAAAAGAUUAACAUCAAAUUUGAAUAUAACAUUUGAAUUUGUUGAGGACUCGGGCCUUGACUCUGAGAAAAGUCUUUUCGGGCAUUAAAUUGCACAAAUUGAAGUAUUUAAAUAUAUAAAUAUUUCUCCUUAUUACCAAUAUAAACUAAAUAUAUAAUAUAUAUAUUGUAUUAUCCUUAACACAUUGAUUUGAUUCAAAUAAAUUGUUAAACUAAUUUUAUCGAAUU